AAAGUGUGUGAUUGAGUUUUCUUUCCAUUCUGCAGUGGAGGAGACUGAGGAAUGAGCUCUUAAAGCCACAGAGAAGAGCACAGCAAGCUGAAUAAAAUGUGCCUGGCCUCGAAUCCUGCCUGCUAGACUGGAAGUCCUCUACUCCUGUUUAUCCUCCUCUAAACCUUGACCAGGAAAAAAUUAUUUAAUGACAGAAACACCAUGAUGCACAUUCACCUGCACCCAAAGGAGAUCAAUUCACCAGCUGAACCACCUUCCUGCUGUUGAAUCUUUUAUUUAGCUUGCAUUGUUAUUGAUUUUAAUUGAAAAAAUCGUGAUUUGUCAGAGCUUGUACUGCCUGAAAAAUAAAAACUCUUUAAUGUGCUGUUAGAA